AUGGUGCAGCGCUCGCUCGUCCCCAAGCUCAAGCUCAAGACGGCGGUCGCUCCUGUCUCACCGCUCUCUGUGCCCGCUCCUCGAAAGCGUCGACGGAGUAACACAUGCGCGCCCGAGGCACGUGCAUUACCGGUAGUGUGCAUGCUUCCAACCGACCUCAUGCUUGAGAUCGUCGCACGUUCCUACCAAUCCACCCUCAUUCACUGCGCUGCCGCCUGCAAGGACCUCCGCCGUGAGAUCCUAAACCCACCACGGAAGAAAUCCGAACGCCGCUCUGACCUGUGCGACUACGACUCCAUAACUGGUGAGCGCACCUUCUUUUCUAAGCCACCAGACAUCUCUUACAUUCGCUGCAAGAUCAGCACGCAUGUCCUACUCACUGCUGCAGAUGGAAUCUACAGUGACUGCUGCUUCACGCUCUUGGUCGCAGAUCUCAGCGGCUAUGUAGAUUGUUGGGAUAGUAUAACGAUUCAGACAAUAUCGUCAAAUGCCGGUGGCACAUGGUCGCCUUCCAUUCAUGUUGGCCACCUUGGCUUCCCAUGGUGGUCUCUCCAGGAGCACCGCGACGCCGUUGUUCUUCCUAGUGGCAUCAUCCACUGGCUCGUCUGGCAUGGUGACAACAUCCUCACAUAUGACAUCCACACAAAAAACCCCGGCACGCUAAAGAUCCCAUUACACUCGGGUUGCUGGACGCUGGACGACGUCAUCAACACGGAGGGGAAAUUGCGGGCGCUGGACCCCAAUAUUCCUUCCGGGCCUGUGAUGAUUGAGUUUGAGUACAGAUCUGGGGAGAGGAGCGGGGUAGUUUUGCUACGGGUAUGCAGUCCCGACAGGCUGCUCAACAAGGACCGCCGGCUCAUCGUCCUAGACUUGGAGACGAGACAGAUGCGUAAGCAAGACUCGUCCUCAUUUGUGUUGUUGGAGAUUGACAUGUUAUCUCGUAAAAAAAAAACUAUGAGACAUGUGACGACAGUUGGGCGCACCACGCGGUGCGCUGGGGCUUUCCCACAUGCGUCCGAUGGGAUUCCUCCGAAGUGGUACCCGUUGAUUAGUUACUCCCCGAUAAUCGUGGCAGGCCAUCUUCCUAAGCGUAAAACUUGUCCAUCUUCUCGCCGGCCUCUUGAUCUCUACUCCCAACCCCUCCAAACCACUAUCGAGUCGAUCGGUCAGUGGGAUAUGGCUCAGCCAUGCACUUCCGUCACCGAAGACCACUUGGCCGGUCUCCUGGAGGAGUCUUCUUCCACAUGA
rnacentral:rRNA from 1 species